rnacentral:rRNA from 1 species
UACGUAGGGGGCAAGCGUUGUCCGGAAUCAUUGGGCGUAAAGAGCGUGUAGGCGGUCCGGUAAGUCGGCUGUGAAAGUCCAGGGCUCAACCCUGGGAUGCCGGUCGAUACUGCCGGACUAGAGUUCGGAAGAGGCGAGUGGAAUUCCCGGUGUAGCGGUGAAAUGCGCAGAUAUCGGGAGGAACACCUAUGGCGAAGGCGACUUCCUGGCCUGUUCUUGACGCUGAGGCGCGAAAAGCCUAGGGGGAGCAAACGGG